rnacentral:rRNA from 1 species
CUACGGGCUGCACCAGUGGGGAAUAUUGCACAAUGGGCGCAAGCCUGAUGCAGCCAUGCCGCGUGUAUGAAGAAGGCCUUCGGGUUGUGAAGUACUUUCAGCGGGGAGGAAGGGAGUAAAGUUAAUACCUUUGCUCAUUGACGUUACCCGCAGAAGAAGCACCGGCUAACUCCGUGCCAGCAGCCGCGGUAAUACGGAGGGUGCAAGCGUUAAUCGGAAUUACUGGGCGUAAAGCGCACGCAGGCGGUUUGUUAAGUCAGAUGUGAAAUCCCCGGGCUCAACCUGGGAACUGCAUCUGAUACUGGCAAGCUUGAGUCUCGUAGAGGGGGGUAGAAUUCCAGGUGUAGCGGUGAUAUGCGUAGAGAUCUGGAGGAAUACCGGUGGCGAAGGCGGCCCCCUGGACGAUGACUGACGCUCAGGUGCGAAAGCGUGGGGAGCAAACAGGAUUAGAUACCCUCGUAGUC